GUAAACUUUGACCUUUGUACCUGAUACCCCAGCACGUCACGCAGAGUUGGAAGGCUCAGCUCAGUCCUGCUGUUUUUAUAAGUUUUCUGGACCCAAGGACAGACCUGAGAACCCCAGUAAACAGAUAGAUCAGGAAGCCAUGCAGUCAGUGGCAGGUAGAAGACUGGCGGCAGUACUCGCCCAUCUGUCACAAGGAUCGCGUCAUCAAAAACCAAUGAACAUCGUACCAUCCUUGGUUAGCACUCGUACAUUCUUUCACAGAUUGGACAUUACCAGGAAUAAACGUCAUCAAUAAAGACACUGUCAGCUUCAGCCACGUGUUCCAGCCAUGGGACUUUGAUGAUUUUGACAAAUUAGCCACAGUUCCAGUGGGAAUUAUCGCCAGGCAGAUACCGACGUUUUCUUACCUGUUAGGGAAUCGUUACUUCUUCCAACCGCCUGAACAAAACAAGAAUGAACCCGUUUUCAAGG